CAAACCUGGAAACAAAAAAAAGCAAAGAAUGAGAACAAACAAAGCCAAAGAAAUAAGGUGUGAAUGACGUGCAGAUGGUUACACAGAAAACACAAGACAAGCAGGAGACACAUAGGCAUCCUCCAUGUUUUAUCUCCACAUAGCACUGCAGUCCAAACUGGUGUCUCCCAGGGACCCUGUCUCCCUUUUUCUUCUGAUUGGUAAUGAGGCACAGCUGCCUUAUAGUGGGCCCAGCAGGCAGGGCCUUGAUUGCUGCCGCUUACUUGAGCAGGCAAAAUGUGGCAACGAUGACUGGAUUGCAAUGUGAGUGCAAGAACGGAGGACUUUUGGUAAUGAAGAGAUCCCAAUCUUGGUUAUUAUGAUUCAGGACUGUAUUCUCAGCUCCACUAAAUACGGUUCACAAGUAUUUCUGUCCUGCUUAUUAUGUUUUCACUGGCAGUGAAUGUGGUAGGCUUUUUUGUACAGGCUGUUCUUUCUGGAUAAUGGUUUCAGGGUGAAUAUAGAAAGUUGCACAGAUGCAGUGCUGAAAGUGGACUGGAACAUUUGCAUGUUGCAUUUGCACUUUUUUCAUACAAGAACAUGAAACUAUGAAUCACAAUUUUGCUGACAGUGAUUCUUGUGGAUUGUCCACAUACCAUUAUCUCUGGUUGAUAUAAAAUUUGCCAUCAUAUCCACUUAAUUUAUCUUUGUCCACAACUGAUGAAUUUGAAAGUGAUCGGAGUCUUGGUGUGUAUCAGCAGGAGCUGACUCAGUUGCAAAUCUGCCAGUCUUACUUUAUUCCUUCCUGCUGGCAUGACAAAGUUAUUACUUCUUACCAUCCUGCAGUUUGUCAGUUCGAGUCAACAUGGCUGAGAUCACAAGAGGCUAACAGAAAACAAUGACCACAAGUGAUGCUGUUGGGAUGAAGUGAAUGGAGGAUGAAUGUGAUUGUUUUUGUUUAUUUGUUUUCUGCGUGGCCCCUCCUCCUCACAGCUGUCAGCUUGACUGUCUGGGGGUGGCAGUUUACCUCAGUAUAUUUGGAUUCUCAGGCUGUUGUUGUUUGGAUAUGAAUCAUGAAUCCUUUUCUCAUUCCCUUCAGGAGAUGCUGGGUGCCAGUUGCUAUGGCUACAGUACAUCGUGGCACAGAGAGACACCUUGCAAGAUAAAUUUGACCACACCAGCUUUAGGGGCUCCAUGCUGUUGAAGGCCUGUGGGUCCAACAUCUGCUCACUGCUGGUGGAAGACUUGAAGCCCACUCUAGCACACUUAUUACAUCUUCCUUUCCUCUUUCCUUUAAUACCAGCUCUCUUCUUCCUCGCAGUGUCCCUCUUCUUGUCCUUAUUUCCUCUUCCCCCAUGUUCCCCCAUGAGUUCAUAAACUGUACAGAAGCA